UAAAAUACACGGAGCGCCGAUUCUCCAGCCACUACAGUUCUGUGACACAACUUAAUUAGGACUCGUCCUGGCUUACCUAAUUUUUAUUCCCAACACAGUUCUACAACCAUUGUAACUUACAGGCUCCCCCCACCUACUUGUAUACCACCUGAGUACAAACCCUGGACCCAAAAAGCAGCUACACAUAAUUAUACAAGAAGAAAAACUCGAAUACCCAAAUUAUCUGCAGCAAUAUGAAGAGCACCCCCGGCGUUGUACACAUCAGCUUGGGGGAAAUCCAGCGCGCGAUGAUCCUUGGUUAUUCCCUGGGCCUAGCAAGCCACAGAGAGCUCAGCGCGCGCAAACGCGAGAAGUAGUCAUGUAUAGCCAAAAGGGCGCGGGAGGCCUGACGGAUCGUCAGGAUCCGCUGCAUCUGAUGCAAGGUCUGCUGUCGCAGGUUGCCUGCCUGGCGAAGAAAGUUCUCGAGCGUUCCAAGCUUGCCCAUGGCCAUGGCCAUCUGACCCAUGUAGUUUGCAACAUUCC
rnacentral:rRNA from 1 species